GUGCCACUGCACUCAAGCCUGGGUGACAGAGCAAGACUCUGUCUCCAAAAGCAAACAAACAAACAAACAAAACUAUACUGGGCGUGCCUGCCUAUCAGACACCCAAUCUUGCAAGACCACCAUUAAAAGUCUCACUUUUGCUGUUCUCCGAGUCUCUGAAUCCAUUCUUUGGGUUUGGAAGGGUGAGUUUGUUUUUCACAAUCUGGUGGCCAUACGGGGAUCUCUGUGCCUGCAUGGAGAGGGGAGACGUGCCCCACUUGAUUUAUGUGGCCCGCUCUGUCUGGAUGUCCCGGCUCCCCACAGAAGCCACAGACAAACCGGAGACCAUGAUUCAGGAGAUAACAAAAGUGACACAGGAAGAAAAGCAGGCACCGCGGCAACCAGACAACCUCGUGCACGAACCACGGUGGGAAAAUGGGACUGUCACCACUUCCAGCCUGGCGACUUGGUGCUAAUUAAGACUUGGAAGGAAGACAAUCUCCACCCAAGCUGGGAAGGUUCCUAUCAAGUGCUCGUGAUCACUGAGACAGCCGUAGGAACAGCUGAACGGGGUGGACACUCACACUCGGGUCAAGAGACUGGUAAAAGAAACCCCAGAAGGAAGGGAAAAAGAGGAGAAGCCAGUUGCCAUAUUGUGAGGAUGCUCAAGCAACCUUAUGAAGAGGUCUACAUGGUGAAGAACUAAGGCCUACUAUCAAAAACAAACACUAAUUUGCCAGACAUGUGAGUGAGUAUAUUGGAAGUGGAUCCUCCAACCUUCUAAGACUUGACAUGACUACAACCCCUGCCAACACCUUGAAUGAAACUUCAUAAGAGAACCUAAUCCAGAAUCACAUAGCUAAGCUAUUCCUGGAUUUCUGACCCAUAGAAACUAUGAGAUAAUUGCUUCUUGUUUCGAGUCACUAAAUUUGAGGGUAAUUGUUACAUAGCAACAGAUAACCAAUACAAUGAUAAGUGAAGAGUAAGGCCUGAGAAAUGACCGUUUAAUUUAAUAUGAAAGUCACUGACUACUUUGAAAAGAGCAGUUUCAGCAGAGCGAUGUGGGCAAAAGCCUAAUUAAAAUGUGCUCACAGAUAAUGAGAGAAGAGAAAGUGGAGACAGAUAACUGACCAUUCUUUCCAUAAGUUUUGCUGUAGGCCGGGCGCUGUGGCUCAUGCCUGUAAUCCCAGCACUUUGGGAGGCCGAGGCGGGC
rnacentral:lncRNA from 1 species